UACGUAGGGGGCAAGCGUUGUUCGGAAUUACUGGGCGUAAAGCGCGCGUAGGCGGUCUGAAAAGUCAGAUGUGAAAGCCCCGGGCUCAACUUGGGAACUGCAUUUGAUACUGUCAGACUAGAGUACAGAAGAGGUGACUGGAAUUCCCAGUGUAGCGGUGAAAUGCGUAGAUAUUCGGAAGAACACCAGUGGCGAAGGCGGCUCACUGGACUGGUAUUGACGCUGAGGUGCGAAAGCGUGGGGAGCAAACAGG
rnacentral:rRNA from 1 species